GUGACAAGGCAAAGUUAGAUAACUCUGGUGUGCAUUUGGACAGAAUUAUGUGCCCUUUUUAUACUUAGAAAAUUGAAACUUUGGUUAAGUUUUGCGUUAAGGUCCAUUUUAUUCCUUAAGUAUCAAAGCUAUUGCUUUCAUACUUGCAACACUUACUAACUAUCAUAAGAGGCUGUGCAGGCAAAGUUAUGUAACUCUGAGACUGGCACUUGGACAGAAUUAUGUACCCUUUGUAUACUAAGAAAAUUGAAAAUUAGGUUAAGUUUUGCUUUCAUACUUGCAACACUUACUAACUAUCAUAAAGGGACUGUGCAGUAAGUUAUGUAACUCUUGACUGGCAUUUUGACAGAAUUAUGGGCCCUUUAUACUUAGAAAAUUGAAAGUUUGUUAAGUUUUGUGUUUUGGUCCACUUUACUCCUAAAGUAUCAUAGAUAUUGCUUUCAUACUUGGAACACAUCGCAAACUAUCAUAAGGGGACAGUACAGGACAAGUUGCAUAACUCUGGUUGUCAUUUUGACGAAAUUAUGGCCCUUUUUUGACUUUUUAACUUUGAAUAUAUUGUUAAAUUUUGUGUUUAGAUCCACUUUACUUCUAAAGAAUCAAGGCUAUUGCUUUCAAACUUCAAAUACUUUCAUGCUAUCAUGAGGGUACUGUACCUGGCAAGUUGAAUUUGGCCUUGACCUUUGAAUGACCUUGACUCUCAAGGUCAAAUUAUUAAAUUUUGCUUAAAUUGCCAUAACUUCUUUAUUUAUGAUCAGAUUUGAUUGAUACUUUGACAAAACAACUCUUACCUGACAUACCACAAUAGACUCCACCCAAACCAUCCCCCACGCCCCACCCCAGAAUCCCCCCCCCCAAAAAAAAGUUGUUUUUAUGUCCCCCACUAUAGUAGUGGGGGACAUAUUGUUUUUGCCCUGUCUGUUGGUCUGUCUGUUGGUCUGUCUGUUUGCUCCAACUUUAACAUUUUGCAAUAACUUUUGCUAUAUUGAAGAUAGCAACUUCAUAUUUGGCAUGCAUGUGUAUCUCAUGAAGCUGCACAUUUUGAGUGGUGAAAGGUCAAGGUCAUCCUUCAAGGUCAGAGGUCAAUUAUAUGUGGCCAAAAUCGCUCAUUUUAUGAAUACUUUUGCAAUAUUGAAGAUAGCAACUUGAUAUUUGGCAUGCAUGUGCAUCUCAUGGAGCUGCUCAUUUUGAGUGGUGAAAGGUCAAGGUCAUCCUUCAAGGUCAGAGGUCAAAUAUAUGUGGCCCAAAUCCCUUAUUUUAUGAAUACUUUUGCAAUAUUGAAGAUAGCAACUUGAUAUUUGGCAUGCAUGUGUAUCUCAUGGAGCUGCACAUUUUGAGUGGUGAAAGGUCAAGGUCAUCCUUCACAAGGUCAAGGUCAUACUACAAUGUCAAACAUCAUAUAGGGGGACAUUGUGUUUCACAAACACAUCUUGUUUUUUUUUUCGUUUUUUUUAAGAUCAUCUAAUAAAUGACCACACCCUCACACUAUAACCCCCCACCCCCCCCCCC